CAAACAUGAAUCAAAUGUUCAAAUUCUCGCAAAGUUUAUACUUGAGUGUGUACGCAUCACAUAGUAAUGUAAGCCUAACAAAUCGAAAUAAGAGUAUAUAAUGUACAUAAGAUUCAUAUCAUGAUUAGUAGAGACCGAUCUUUGAUCGGGUGAGCGGGGGUGCUCAAUUCAUGACUUUUCCCUCUCGUACCUAAAUUCUCGAGCCGAGACAAUCUUGGCGAUGACGGACACG
rnacentral:sRNA from 1 species